UACGGGGGGGGCAAGCGUUGUUCGGAAUUACUGGGCGUAAAGCGCGCGUAGGCGGCUUUUCAAGUCAGACGUGAAAUCCUUAGGCUUAACCUGAGAACUGCGUUUGAUACUGUUGGGCUAGAGUGUGGAAGGGGCUACUAGAAUUCCGUGUGUAGCGGUGAAAUGCGUAGAUAUACGGAGGAACACCAGCGGCGAAGGCGGCUUGCUGGGCAUGAUCUGACGCUGAGGCGCGAAAGCGUGGGGAGCAAACAGG
rnacentral:rRNA from 1 species